UACGAAGGGGCUAGCGUUGCUCGGAAUCACUGGGCGUAAAGGGUGCGUAGGCGGGUCUUUAAGUCAGGGUGAAAUCCUGGAGCUCAACUCCAGAACUGCCUUUGAUACUGAGGAUCUUGAGUUCGGGAGAGGUGAGUGGAACUGCGAGUGUAGAGGUGAAAUUCGUAGAUAUUCGCAAGAACACCAGUGGCGAAGGCGGCUCACUGGCCCGAUACUGACGCUGAGGCACGAAAGCGUGGGGAGCAAACAGG
rnacentral:rRNA from 1 species